AACGAACGCUGGCGGCGUGCUUAACACAUGCAAGUCGAACGCGAAAGGGAACUUCGGUCCUGAGUAAAGUGGCGCACGGGUGAGUAACGCGUAGAUAACCUGUCUUCAUGUCUGGAAUAAUACGCCAAAGGGGUACUAAUACCGGAUAUUCUUGCUUUUCAUAAGUUAUGCAAGCAAAGGUGGCCUCUGCAUAUGCUACUGCAUGAAGAGGGGUCUGCGUACCAUUAGCUAGUAGGUGGGGUAAUGGCCUACCUAGGCGACGAUGGUUAGCGGGUCUGAGAGGAUGAUCCGCCACACUGGCACUGGAACACGGGCCAGACUCCUACGGGAGGCAGCAGUGAGGAAUAUUGCGCAAUGGGGGAGACCCUGACGCAGCGACGCCGCGUGAGUGAAGGAAGGCCUUCGGGUCGUAAAGCUCUGUCAAGAGGAAAGAAGUGUACAAUGGCUAAUACCUGUUGUAUUUGACGGUACCUCUAAAGGAAGCACCGGCUAACUCCGUGCCAGCCGCUGC
rnacentral:rRNA from 1 species